CACAAACAUGCAUUCCUGGGCUGUGUUGUUCUUUUUGAUAAGUUUUUCAUACUCCGUUCGUUCAAGCAUAGUUCCUUUAUGUGAGCAUAGGAGAGACUGGUUGGCCCAUUGCGUUCCAAAAUCAAAGCCAUGCAAAUUCAACAAAUAUUCAUUCUUACGUUGCGGAAAUGAUCCAACCGAUUCACUACAAUGUUGCUCAUCUGCGUGGGUGGCCUUUGAACCUGAUGAUUUAGAUAAUAAAUGAUAUAACAAACUAUUA
rnacentral:sRNA from 1 species